rnacentral:tRNA from 1 species
GGAGAGAUGCCAGAGUGGUCGAUUGGGGCGGUCUCGAAAACCGUUGUCCGGGUAACUGGACCGGGGGUUCGAAUCCCUCUCUCUCCGCAA